AAGUACUUUAUAGAUUCAGAAGUAAAUGCUGUCCUGUUCUCCAUCAGCUGUUCGUUUGUUACAGAUUUUGUAUUUCUUUUUUUUUUUUUUUGAGAUGGAGUCUCACUCUGUCACACAGGCUGGAGUACAGUGGUGCGGUCUCGGCUCCCUGCAACCUCUGCCUCCCGGGUUCAAACGAUUCUUCUGCCUCAGCCUCCUGAGUAGCUGGGACUACAGGCGCGUGCCACCACCCCUGGCUAAUUUUUGUAUUUUUUUUUCUUUUUUUUUUUUGAGAAGGAGUCUCUCUCUGUCACCCAGGCUGGAGUGCAGUGGCACGAUCUCGGCUCACUGCAAGCUGCGCCUCCUGGGUUCACGCCAUUCUCCUGCCUCAGCCUCCCGAGUAGCUGGAAUUACAGGCGUCCGCCACCGUGCCCGGCUAAUUUUUUUGUAUUUUUAGUAGAGAUGGGGUUUUGCCAUAUUGGCCAGGCUGGUCUCGAACUCCUGACCUCAAGUGAUCCACCCACCUCGGCCUCCCAAAGUGCUGGGAUUACAGGCAUGAGCCACCGCACCUGGCCAGAUCUUUGUAUGUCUUAAGUGUUUCAAAGUUAUAAGCAUUUUUCUGGGGGGAUGUCCAUUUUGGAGGGAUCCAUUUUGAUCCUUUGUACUCUAUAAUGUGAACUUUCCCCUGUUCCAACACUUAAAAGAGAAUUAUUAGCACAUAAUCUAAAAGAUGGAAUUUUUUUUUUUUCUUGAGACAGAGUCUCGCUCUGUCGCCAGGCUGGAGUGCAGUGGCGCGAUCUUGGCUCACUGCAACCUCUGCCUCCUGGGUUUAAGCGAUUCUCCUGCCUCAGCCUCUGGAGUAGCUGGGACUACUCGUGCAUGCCACCACGCCCGGCUAAUUUUUGUAUUUUUAGUAGAGACAGGGUUUCACCAUAUUGGCCAGGAUGGUCUCGAUCUCUUGACCUCGUGAUCCACCUGCCUCGGCCUCCCAAAUUGCUGGGAUUACAGCACUGUGCCCUCCUAGGAAAUUAUUUUUUAAGUGAAAUUUUAUUUUUAUUUUUUUUAGGAUUUUGGUAGAGAAUGAGUAGGCCUACUCAUCAAUAUCAAACAGGACAUUUAGUUUCUUUCCUUAGAACAGACAUAAAUUUAAUUUCAUGGUAAUAUGAUAAUAAGAAAAUGCUUCUAUUUUUCUUUAGCACCUCCAUGGUUCUCAUAUACCCAUGUCUGUAAAAAGUGACAUGAGAAUUUUGUUGGGUUACAUUUUAUUGUAUUUAUUAGAUUCGCUUAUAUAGAUGACUUAGGCAGAAAUAAAGUCAUGUCUUUAGAAGGUGAACAAGCCAACUUGUGAUGGCCUGCCUUUUGCUUUUGGCAGUUGGGAUGAGAACAAUUGACUCUCCCAUUGGUUGUUAGAUAGUUGAAAUGGUGCGUUGGUGGUCAUACUUAGUGUUCUAGGCUGUGAAAUCAUGGAGUUCUUCCACUUCCAAGAAUGACUCAUUUGCUGUUGGAUUCUAGUACAGAAUUUAGCAGCCUGAUGUGUCCCCAAACUGAUUUAAUUUCUACUGAAGUGCCCUUGUGUACAUUUGUUUUGUAAUUUACCAAAGUACUACCUGAGUGUAUAAUGACUCCUGCAGUGAGUUAAUGUAAUUGCUGCUUUGACCAUUGUUUUAAAUCUGUGUACUAGAGUAACUGUGAGCAGAAUGAAAUCACAUUAUCUCAGUGUUCAAAAUAUCAUUCUAAUAAAGUACAUGCAUUAAACAAUUUU
rnacentral:lncRNA from 1 species